GAUAACGUAGCGAAAGCUACGCUAAUACCGCAUACGCCCUGAGGGGGAAAGCGGGGGAUUCUUCGGAACCUCGCGCGAUUGGAGCGGCCGAUGUCGGAUUAGCUAGUAGGUGAGGUAAAGGCUCACCUAGGCGACGAUCCGUAGCGGGUCUGAGAGGAUGAUCCGACACACUGGGACUGAGACACGGCCCAGACUCUUACGGGAGGCAGAAGUGGGGAAUUUUGGACAAUGGGCGCAAGCCUGAUCCAGACAUGCCGCGUGAGUGAAGAAAGCCUUCGGGUAUGUAAAGCUCUUUCGGACGGGAAGAAAUCGUGGUCUACUAACAUAGGCCAUGGAUGCCGGUACCGGACUAAAGAAGCACCGGAUAACUACGUGCCAGCAGCCGCGGUAAUACGUAGGGUGCGAGCGUAAAUCGGAAUUACUGGGCGUAAAGCGUGCGCAGUCGUUUUUGUAAGACAGAUUUGAAAUCCCCGGGCUUAACCUGGGAACUGCGUUUGUGACUGCAAGGCUAGAGUACGUCAGAGGGGGGUGGAAUUCCUGGUGUAGCAGUGAAAUGCGUAGAGAUCAGGAGGAACACCGAGGGCGAAGGCAGCCCCCUGGGCCUGUACUGACGCUCAUGCACGAAAGCGUGGGGAGCAAACAGGAUUAGAUACCCUGGUAGUCCACGCCCUAAACGAUGUCGACUAGUCGUUCGGAGCAGCAAUGCACUGAGUGACGCAGCUAACGCGUGAAGUCGACCGCCUGGGGAGUACGGCCGCAAGGUUAAACUCAAAGGAAUUGACGGGGACCCGCACAAGCGGUGGAUGAUGUGGAUUAAUUCGAUGC
rnacentral:rRNA from 1 species